UACAAAAUUAAUUAAUGUAAGGUAUUAAUAAAUCUUCUCUCUCUGUCUCCUCCCUCAAUUUAGCGAUUUAGCGCGCCACCGCGGGAAUAUCUCUCUCUCUCUCUCAUUGAUUUCAGUUCAUUAAUUUCUAAAGGAUGGCUUAGAUUCAUGCAAUUUAGGAAUUGUGAGUAAUCUAAUCUUUUGCAGUAUGCAUAUCUUGUGUUUGAUAUAAGUUCCUAAAGGAGCUUACAAUGGAAUCUGUUAAAUACUCUUUAAGCCGUGCAAUCUAUUUGUUUGUUUGUAAUUUACAAUGAAGUUAUUUUGCCUAUAAAAAUGAAGCAUUAAUUGUUUGAAUGAAAAUCAGAUGAAGCAAGGGACAGCGAAGAUUGCUUAUUAUGGUUAGAUAAACAACCGAGUAAAAGUGUGGUGUACUUGUCUUUUGGAAGCCGUCGAUCGUUCUCAAUGGCACAGCUAAAAAAAAAAUAGCUGAAGGGUUGGAGAGGAGUCGACACAGAUUCUUAUGGUUUGUGAUGAGGCCAAUACAAGUUGAUAAUACAACAUGGGAGUUUGAGUUGAGUUUUGUUUUACCAAGUGGGUUUAUAGAGAUAACAAAAGAGAUAGGUCUGGUGGUGAGGUCGUGGGCCCCACAAGUGGAGGUGCUGAGUUGUGAAUCGGUCGGUGAGUUUGUGAGUCACUGCGGAUGGAACUCGGUGCUGGAAGGUGUAGUUGCCGGAGUGCCAUUGAUUGCAUUUGCAUGACCAUUGUAUGCCGAGCAGCAUGUUAAUAGGAAUGUGAUGGUGGAGGACAUGAAGGUCGUCAUUGCGGUCGAGCAAAGGGAAAGAGAUAUGUUUGUGAGUGGAGAAGAGGGUGAGAGAGUUGAUGGAGUCUGAGAAAGGGACAGAGAUCAGGGAGAGGAGUUUGAAGUUCAAAUACAUGGCUAGGGAUGCAUUUGGAGAAUUUGAUUAAGUGCUUUAAGCACUUAAUUAAGCUGUUUAUCUAGGGUCUAAUUUACUUGAAAAUUAUGUAGCUUUUGGGGUUGGAUGUAUGUGCCGAUACUAUGGUGGGGAAUGAAAUGUUGCGUGGUAUCUCCGGAGGACAAAGAAAGCGAGUUACCACAGGAGAGAUGUUGGUUGGACCAGCAAACGCUCUAUUCAUGGAUGAAAUAUUGACUGGUUUGGACAGUUCGACAACUUUUCAAAUUGUGAGAUCUCUCAGGCAAUAUGUUCACAUUCUUAAUGGAACUGCAGUUAUCUCUUUGCUUCAGCCAGCACCAGAAACUUAUGGACUUUGUGAUGGCAUUAUUCUUAUAUCUGAUGGUCAAAUUGCUUGAUUCUCUCUAUGGAGAAAAAACACCAGAAUAGAGAGAAUUAUUACUUGCAAACUUUUUGGCGAUUGGCAAAACAUAUGCAAGGUGCGCAAAUUGGUUGAAGGGUUUGAUUUGUGUUUAAAACCAAAAUAGAGGUCUAUAAUCAAGACAUGGAAGAGGUGGUGGAAAGAUUGUUGGGAUGGAUUAUGAUGCUAUUUCCUGGUGGGCCGUCAAGACGAAGAACUAGCAAGCUUCUCUGAUCGGAUUUAAAUUAGAUUUAUAAUUGUCAUGAAAAUGUAUACACAGCUAUUGGGAUGAAUCAUGAAGCUGUUUUCUGGUAUGCCAACCACAAGAUUAGAGAAGAUGUCAAAUCUGGUAUCUAUGUUGAAAAUCUUACAGAGGUGCAUGUGAGAACAGUGAAGGAUGUUUGAAUUCUUGUUGAGCAAAAGAAAAAUAAUGAGUUGGAAAAAACUAAGCUGAAAGAGAGCAUGGAAAGAUGUGAAGGUGAAAAGAAGUGGCAGAUGAGGCUAAGAAUAUGAUAACUGAGACCAAAGAGCUGAUGUCCAUGAUAAAUAAUUCUAAACCUUUAUAUGAUAUGAUAUUGCCCUGUCAAAGCAGCAGAAGUUGAAAGCCGAUUGGGAAGGCUUUGGAACAGCUUUUGCAAUCAAGUAGCUGAGUGGGGAUAUGUUGGAUUGGAUGGAUAAAUUUGGAUUUGUUGAAAAUUAAGGUUUUGAUGUUUGAAGCAGAGGAGGAAAGUUUUAAAGAAGUAAUACUGCACAAUCAGAAAGCAAAAGAUUUCGACAAACACGAUGCGUUGUUAAAGACGCAUUCGACUGAUAGUGUUGUUAUUUGUUGUAGUUCUGACCAAUCAAUCCUAUUUUCAUGAGAUUGUCUUUUGUCGCGACAACUUUGUUCUGAAAAAUUUUCCACACCAACAAAGACCGUUUUGAAGGGCGGCUUUUAGCUACACCCUUAACAGCAUAUGAUCAUUAGUUGAUACACAUUAUGUCCAAUUAAUUACACAUUAUUCAUCUAUUGAAUUGAGAAAACAAUAAAAAAGAGGGCACCCAUUGUGUUGUUUAAAUUAUUAAUAAAUCUUGAUCCAUUC